rnacentral:ncRNA from 16 species
AUCUUUGCAGCUGUAAUCGGUUCUCCUGAUGUGGAGAUUAAUAGGGAAUCGGGUGAGAAUCCUGAACAGAAUCCCGCCGAAAGGCACCUACCCGUGGCCUUUCCUGCUGCUGUAAGUCGUCCUUUAUGAGGCGCAAACAUGUAUGUCACUGAGAUUUUUGGGAAGACGUUUGCUGCCAGACGAUAAGUCAGAAGACCUGCCGAUGAAACUUUAGCCGCU